GACGAACGCUGGCGGCGUGCUUAACACAUGCAAGUCGAACGGAAAGGCCCUGCUUUUGUGGGGUGCUCGAGUGGCGAACGGGUGAGUAACACGUGAGUAACCUGCACUUGACUUUGGGAUAACUUCAGGAAACUGGGGCUAAUAUCGGAUAGGAUCUCCUGCUGCAUGGUGGGGGUUGGAAAGUUUCGGCGGUUGUGGAUGGACUCGCGGCUUACCAGCUUGUUGGUGGGGUAGUUGCUUACCAAGGCUUUGACGGGUAGCCGGCCUGAGAGGGUGACCGGCCACAUUGCGACUGAGAUACGGCGCAGACUCCUACGGGAGGCAGCAGUGGGGAAUAUUGCACAAUGGGCGGAAGCCUGAUACAGCAACGCCGCGUGCGGGAUGACCGCCUUCGGGUUGUGAACCGCUGUCGCCUGUGACGAAGCGGGAGUGACGGUAAUGGGUAAAGAAGCACCGGCUAACUACGUG
rnacentral:rRNA from 1 species